GUUGUCUUGGGCAUUCACAGUAUAUUCCCACAUAAUAUUCCUAUUUUCAUCCACUUCUACACCAUGUACUCCUAAAAGAACCACAAAACUGUACAAUCUUUUUGUCUUUUUAAUAGAAAAAAAAAAAAACACAAAAUGGUAUUUUAAGGAUUUUAAUUUCUUUCACCAUUUUUUUCCAGCUUAGCACUAUCUGGAGCAGAAAUUUUAUGGGGAGUGACCGAGAGAACUGGGAUUGUUCAGUCUGGAGAAGAGGAGGCUCAGGGGAGACCUGAUAGAUUUGAUGCACUACAGCUGGCUUGGGCUGGGCUAACAAUUCCCAAUUCAUUCCAGAUACCAGAUCAGUACAAAGUGGAUGACACUCGUGCAUCUGAUGGAACCGAGAAUACCACUUCUGCUGAUUUAGUAACGAGCCUCCCUGCUGGGAAUAAGGGCUAUGGCUACAUCCAAAUGGCAUCUCAAUCUGCUCCUAGUGCACAGAACGUGGCAAAUGAGUGACAGGCUACUCUCAGCCUGCAAAAAAAAACCAACCAGGGAGUCUGCAAGCAAGGAGAGCACAAACACUUCUUGCACACCAAAAUGAAGGAUCGAAUACCCUGACUCAAACUGUCCCAGAAGGGAGGUAGGGUGAAAAGAUAAUGAAAGAGAAAAAAAGGAGAAAAAAGGGUAUUCCUUCCCUAUUGUUCCUAUAAAAUAUAGCCAGGACAGUCAGUUAUCAUAAUAGGAAGAUUUAUUUGCCCUAUACUUGAUGGAUGCAGAAUGAUUUUUUUUCUUCUUGCCAGGACUACAUGAAAUAAGUGUUUGCACUGCAUUUAAACAAUCUCUUUAAUUGGGGUUUUUGAGCUCCCACACAAUACAUGAAGCCAUAUCCAUCAAUUCUGUCCACUGCCACUAGAGGGAGAAAAGCCACUGCUUUUGUAGAAAAACGUUUCAUGAUCCCUCAUGCGUUCCAGAUGACCACUGGCAGCGGGCGAUUGAUUUCCCUGCCCAAGAAUCACCUGUCCAAAGAUAAAGAAUGGUGGUGGGGAAGAGAUGGAGCAAGAUACCGAAAUUACUCUCAGGGCCCCCUAAUACUAAGGGUGCCAUUUGCAUCCAGUAUCCAAACGCAGCAGCCUGGAAGUGUGCUCUCAAAUAAAGCCAAGAGCUUGGUUGAGUCAUAUGGAACAGUAUGACAGAGCUUUCAGUCAAUUAGAGAGCAUGCAGAAUGACUUUGAUAGUUUAAUUCCAUACUGACCAUAAUGCACACAACAACAAAACCAAAUGUAAAUUCAGCUACAAACUACUCAAAAUGGGGCUCAUUUAUUUGUUUUACUUACAGAAAAAAAAGGAAAAAAACAACACUUGUAUUUUAAAAUCAUAUUUUAGAGUCCAUGGAGGAAGAAAGACUAAGAAAAAAAUGUGGUGAAAGCACACGAACAGCAGAUAAAUGAAAUUCCUGUCCAGACUGAAGUACAGCUCAACAAUCGCUUUAGCUUAAUGCUGGCAAAUCUUGUUUUGUGUUUGGUCAGAAGAAAAGGUGACUCAUAUUUGGCUACAUUUUACAGAAAUGCAAGAGCCUUGCUGAACUACCUUUGAAAUGUCAAGCCCAUGUUAAUUCUUGUACUUUGUAAUAAUCUAAGCAAUACACUGUCUUAGCCUGACUUAUGUCUGUUUCAGUUGCAAGCACUUUUUUAACAUGAAACACUACAUCAGGUUGACAUCAGCCAGUCACUGCCCUUCUUGUUACUGAUAACACUGCAUUGGAAGUAUUUAUUUUGCUGAGAUCUCCUCAGUGAAGGAAAGGUCUGAAGUCCACCCAGGCUGUCUUCUUUUGUGACAGCUCUGUGCAAUAAACUCUGCUUCUAUAGACAAAAAUCCUUUGAAUUCCUAUAGUUUCACAGGUUGUACAUCAAAUGAAAACAGGCUGCUGUGUUUCUGUUGAGAGUUUUUCAGGGCUUGUCAUUCCUAACAGAAUUCAGAAAGCCACAGUCCUUGCAGAAACAUCCAACUGGUCAUAAUGGACACACGCAGAAAGUAUUUUAUGAUUUAUGAAGUACCGCUCUUAAGCAUCAAACUUGGCCUUAGCUAUGGAACUCUGUCCUAUGUUUGAAAAUGUUUCUAUUCAUAACAAAAAGGUGGAAAAUUGAGCCCCUUCUAAAGAAAUUUCUGAAAACUGUCAGAUUAGUUUUAAUAUUAUUUUUACGCAAUCUUCAAACUUUCUGUCACACUUUUGGCUCCAUAGCAGCAACAGCAAGCACCCCUCGUGAAAGUGAGGGCUUGAAAUGCUGGCAACACUCACCAUUACUGGAAAGUAGAAAUCUCUCACAGAGUUGUUUUUUAGGACAGCUUUCACUAGAAAGGAAAUCAUGGGAUGUGGAAAGUGUCCAAACAUGCUCCAGAAGUAUGUUUUCCCUACAGUGAACUCUUACUUAGGAGCUUAGGCCAAACCUUCCUACAAACCACACAGAAAACCUGUAGAUCCAGGAUUGAAAUUGUUUAAACUGAUGCUCACUGGAGGAGAUUUCAUUCAAUAGGGAGGGUGGGAUGGUCAUUUCGCAUUGAGAACUCAAAGACCUUCAAGAACAGACAGACAGACCUCUAAUGGCUUUCCCACAGCUCCAAACAGCAAGGAAGUCUUCCGUCAGUAGCUCCAAUUCCCUAGGAAAGAGCCCCAAACCACCUUCAUCUACAGAACAAGGGCCAGACCUGCUCACACCUGAGUCAGUAGAGAAGAGCCAGUUCUGAUAAUUAGUAUAUGUUGCUCAUUGGCCAGAUCAGUCACAUGGUGAAGAUGUACUUACUUAGCUAAAGCUGAGUAAAUGUGUAAAUAAGGAUAUGGGAUUGACAUUACAGCAUGAGGAUGAGCCACCUUGCAAGAGUGCCCAAGAAACUGUAAAGUCUCACUGGGAGGAACUGCGAGAGGGAAGCACACACUGGCUGGCACAUAAAGCAUCAAGUUGGAAACACUCUUCUGAACAGAAUGGGUGUUGCUAUGCUGCAGCACUUACUGGGCAUAAAAUCAAUAGGACCUCAGCACACCCCGAUUUAAUGUUGAUUUAAGAUGCCAACUCAGAUGAAUAAAUCACAUGGCACUCCUGUUCUCACCUUCAUAGAUGAGAUCACUGACUCUGCUGCAACUCAUCAACUCAUAUAUGAAGAACCUACAAUAUGGUGCUACAGCUCACUGCAACCAACAGCUGAGGAAAAGAACUCAGGAGGGGCAGAGUAAAGAAAUUGUCCUGUCCAUCCCAGCAGCACACUACAAUACCGAGCUCUUGCUUCAUCUGAGAAACAUGCAAGGAAUGUGUGAGACUGGAGCUAACGCCGCUCAUGCAGACCAAAAAGAAAGAGUGAAUGAAAACAACUGAAGAUGUUCUCUGGAAAACACAUCCCAUCCCAUAACCAUCAAAUUUGUGCAAAUAAAAAAGGGUUUGCUACAUUUACCAAGACAUUUUUUUUGUGGAAAAAUUAUUGGAGGCAGGAUAGUGAAUAUUCA